AGCAGCCGCGGUAAUUCCAGCUCCAAUAGCGUAUAUUAAAGUUGUUGCAGUUAAAAAGCUCGUAGUUGAAUUUCGGGGUCAGCAGGUUGGUCGUGCCAAUGGUAUGCACUGGCCUUGCUGAUUCCUCCCUCUUGAUGAGCCGUAAUGCCAUUAAUUUGGUGUUGCGGGGAAUCAGGACUGUUACUUUGAAAAAUUAGGGUGUUUAAAGCAGGCAAGCGCUUGAAUACAUUAGCAUGGAAUAAUGAAAUAGGACGUUCGAUCCUAUUUUGUUGGUUUCUAGGAUUGACGUAAUGAUUAAUAGGGAUAGUUGGGGGCAUUAGUAUUCAAUUGUCAGAGGUGAAAUUCUUGGAUUUAUUGAAGACUAACUACUGCGAAAGCAUUUGCCAAGGAUGUUUCAUUAAUCAAGAACGAAAGUUAGGGGAUCGAAGACGAUCAGAUACCGUCGUAGUCUUAACCAUAAACUAUGCCGACUAGGGAUC
rnacentral:misc_RNA from 1 species